AUGGCGGACGAGCAGUACUACGCUGACCCGCCAGGGGCGCCACACGGGCUGCUGCUGGCGAUGGCGUUGGGGCUGCUGGUUGCCUGGCCGCUUUUCGUGGGUCAAGGGGGUGCGCCGGUAACCGAUGCCAUCGCCAAUGGCAUCGCCGAGCUGCUCGGCCCCGUGGGCCUACUCCUCCUCCCUAUCGGGCUCCUUCUCCUCAUCAGCCUCCUAUCCUCCUACCGCGGCCAUGACGUGUUCGCCUUCGGCGGCUCGCCCGACGCUGUGCACCACAUUGGGGAAUCCGCCAUCGGCGUGGCGCUCAUGCUGGUCCUCGUCCUCGUCCUUCUCUACUACCGGUCCGUGCUCUUCGGCGGCGGCGGAGACGACGACGAGUAG
rnacentral:rRNA from 1 species